CUGUGUUUGUGUCAGCAUGUCUUUCAGUGUAUGUUUGUCAGUAUGUCUGUCAGUGUAUGUUUGUGUCAGUAUGUCUGUCAGUGUAUGUGUUUGUGUCAGUAUGUAUGUCAGUGUAUGUUUAUGUCAGUAUGUCUGUCUGUGUUUUAUGUCAGUAUGUCUUUUAGUGUAUGUUUGUCAGUAUGUAUGUCAGUGUAUGUUUAUGUCAGUAUGUCUGUCAGUGUAUGUGUUUGUGUCAGUAUGUAUGUCAGUGUAUGUUUAUGUCAGUAUGUCUGUCUGUGUUUGUGUCAGUAUGUCUU